AUUGAAGAAAUUAAAAGCUGUAAAGAAUUUAAAAGGUUGACCUGAUAAUUUGUUUAUUCCAGGGGGAAAAAAAUACAGGUUCACAGAAGCUAUGUGACUCACCUAAGUUCACACAGCAAAGAUAAAAAUAGGCCUCGCAGACACCUCGUUCAGUGCUCUUUGCUCCAGAGCACACUGUCUCUUACAUGUUUUCUAACAACUGGAUUUCUUUCAGAUCCAAGCACCCGCUUUACAUUUACAGAAGUCCAGCUCAGUUUCUGAUUCUCUAGAGGACUGUCCCCAGAGGACCUGACAACCCGCCGUAAGCCUUGGGCAGCAGCCAGCAGUGUUGGCAGGCAGUUCUCUGACCUGAGGUUGCCUGCAGGAUUUGACAGACAGCCCUGCCCCUGGCCGUGAGGCAAAGGUGAAUUUUGUGCAGAAUCAGCUCCUGAAAGGGGCAGCUUUGCCAUGGACUGUUUCUCUUCUGUGAUGCCCCUGUGCCAUGCCACCCUGCCUUGGUACCAGCCAACUUUGACCGAAACCUCUAUUAAGUCAGCUGAAGCAUCUCAAGUCCCUAAAAUCCUUCAGCCUUACCAUAAAGCCCAGACUGAACCACAAGGCUAGAAUAUUUGCACAAGAUGAUGGCAUCAGCUAUAAAGGAAGCCAGCAGUUCCAAGAAGUGGACUGCAUGAUGGCCCAAAUGUUUCAAAAGAAGGAAAAAGUCAUUUGAAAUCAUGCCCCUCACCCAUGGAAAAUUAUUGGACUUUAACCCACUCCAGGAAAUCAAUAAAAGUUUGCCUUCCUUUCUUUGGAGAGCAGGCUGUUCUUUCUCUUAAUCGCUGCUGUCUCCCUUAAACUGAAACCCCAAUUAA